CUUGCCAUUUCCAUUGCCAUAGCCAAUGUCGCGUGUUCAUCUCCCUGCAGAGCUGUGAGAUCAUGAGCCCCUCUUAUGGAAGGGAAACAGGGACUCACAGGAGCGAAGUGGCUUCUCCAGGGUCCUACGCUGAUCCGAGUGUCCAGUCCAGGGCUCUAAUUCCAAAGUCUAGCUUCCACAAAGGGCUGUCUUGGGAAGUGGUGAGCUCUCCAUCAGUAGAGGUGUGCAAGGAGAGGUUGAGCACCCCCUCGGCAAGGAGACAGAGAAGAGGACGGGCCUCCAGAGAUCAACCGGAAAGCCAGGCUGCCCCCUGCUGUGCUCCAGUCCUGGCUGCUCAAGCCUUCCUGCUGGGUUCUGAAGGAAGUCUGUGAAAGCCAGGCCACUUUCUGGCAGGUGAACUCUAAGCCUUUGAGCUUUAAAGUUGGCUGUGCCUCACACGGUGCCAGCCUCAGCCAUGCCCAUCCUCUCAUCCCUGCCCCGAUGAGACCCGGGAUGAAGGGUUUGAGGAGACGGGUCUGGACCACCAAGUGAGAGGUCACUGUCUGGUUCCCAGCCACAGACAACCACUCCUGGGGUGUCUCCUGGAAGGGUGAGUUGGGGGUUGGGAAGGAGGAAUUGGCCCAGCAGACAUAUCCUAGGAGGGGCAUGUGGCAGUCCUCUAACUUGCAAGUCCAGAGCCACCGAGCCAGGCCCUUCUCUGCUGUCCUGCACCGUGGCCUUUGUGACCUCUCAGGGAGGGGCCCUGGCAUCACCCAGAGAUGGCUGUAAGGUGCUCUCACUCACUCAGGGCCUCGGGCCUCGCUCAGAUGUGGGGACCUUCCCAGGGACACGGGCAGCGGAUGCUGUGGGGUCGGGCAGGCGGUCAGCUCCCCGCAUGCGCCUGCACCCUGAAGCAGAACAGGGCCCCUGGCCUCGGAGAGCCCCCUGGUCUCCAUGUCCCUGAAGCGCGGCGGGGGGAGCGUUCCACAGGCGCAGCCUUUCCGGAAAGGAGCGCCUCCGACCGUGCGGCAGGUCUGCAGCCCCUGGCGCAGCCAGCGUUCGCCUUCUGGAAGCGCCGGAGGCUGGAAGAGCGAGGGCUCUGCUCGCCAAGCUGCUCUCCGCAGCGUUGCUGUCUGCUGUCGAGGAAGGACGUCAGCCUGACGGUCCCCAGCCUUUUCCUGACACUUGAGCAUCCUCACGACGUGGCAGCUGUCUCCAGAGAGAGGGGCCCAAGGCAGAGAGCAAGGAUGAAGCUGGAGCCCCUCUUAUGACCUAGUCUCAGAAGUUGCGCUCCAUCACAUCCCCUUCUUUCUACUUCUUCGAAGGGAAUCAAGCUGCUGACAGUGGUUGACUUGAAACUGGCUGUCAAAACGGAGAGGAGUUCACCUGCAGGUCCGAGGCCCCAAGAUGCGUGUUCUAACUACUCCCAUCUGACAGAUGAGAAACCCAGGACUUAGAGAGGGAAAGUGGCUCAUCCAAGCCCACCUUCAGAGUCGAUGGAGGAACUGAGAUGUAAGCCUGGGUCUGUCUGAGUCCAGGAAUCAUGAGAGGAAAGGGAAUUCGGCGUUGAUUCCUCGCCUGGUUUCAGCACUCCCUGCUUCAUCCGCUGUCCACUGCAAUUCAUUCUCUGCAAAGCAACUGGAAGUCAGAUCUGUGCUGCUGCUACAGCCCGCCCACCCUGCCCAGGGCCUCGGGGUGCCCCUUACACUAAAUACUCGUGCUGUGUGCAGCCUGACACUGCGAGCCCUCCGUGGCAUCACUUCCCUCCCCAUUCAUGCUUCCUCCUCCCUCCUUUCUGUGUCUCCUUCCUUUUCUCUAAGCUUCAUGCUCUCCAAGGCCUCAGAGCAGGUGACUUCCCCACCUUGACACGGGGAGAUCCUCGCCCACCGCCCGCAGGUUUCAGCUCAGAUGCCUCCCCAGCAGCCUUCCCCGAGGCUGAGUGUGGAGUCUGCUUGCUCCUAGGUGGCCCUGCACACCCCUUUGUGCCCAUUCAAGUGACUCUCCUCUAACCAGGCAAUGAGAGUCCACAUGUCACUCGCUCUUCAUCUACUCCAACACCUACCCAGACCAAGAAAUACGUUCUGAAGGGAUGAGCGUCUGAAAAGUGGAUGUCUGAACCCGUGAAGCAAGCGUCCUGGGGUGUUUGGUCUUAACAUUCAUUGAGCAUGAAUGUUUAAUCUGCCUCUGCUCUGGCCAGACAUUGUGCUGGGUCUAGUGCGCAUCCCCGGGGAAGCACUCACACCUCACUGUAGCCUAUUUUGCAGGUGAGGAACCUGAGGCUCAGAGACAGGAAGCAACUUGCCCAAGGCAGCACAGCGUGUAAUUAAAAGUGCCAGGAUCCAAGCCCAAGUCUAUCUAUCUGGUCCCACAGCUCUGCUGUGAAGUUCCUGGUCUCUCUGAAGAGCAUUUAAAAUGAAACAGUGCAGAAAUAAGAGCCCUGACAUUUUCACGGAUCCACAGUGUUUGCAGACACCUUCAGUUCGGAGACAACACCUGUCAGAGAAUGAAAAGGCCAAGUUGAGGCUGGGAGUGGAGGAGCGGAGAAUAGCGGGGUAGGGGAGUUACAGGGAAAGCACAGGGAGAGAGCCGCACUGGGUGGUCCCUCCCCAGGACACCAGGAGCACCCUCCUCCCCUCCACAGCACUCAGCAGGGUCCGCUCAGUGACGAGUCCGCAGACCUGGUGCACUGCCUUGGCCUCUCCGCCCUCAGCGGCCCAGCCAUCUGGACCCUGUCCCCAGGAGCCAGGCAGGCCUCCCGGCUGAGAAGGGGCACAGCCAUGCCCGGCUGCAGCAGCUCUUCUCGGAAAGUGGGGCAGCAGGUGCCUGCAGCCUGGGGGAGGCAUGAGGGAGCUUUGGGAUGGCCAGAGUGACAUGUGCAGGAUGGAGGGG
ensembl:lncRNA